AACGAACGCUGGCGGCAGGCUUAACACAUGCAAGUCGAGCGCCUCGCAAGAGGAGCGGCAGACGGGUGAGUAACACGUGGGAACAUACCCUUUACUACGGAAUAACGCAGGGAAACUUGUGCUAAUACCGUAUGUGCCCUUCGGGGGAAAGAUUUAUCGGUAAAGGAUUGGCCCGCGUUGGAUUAGCUAGUUGGUGGGGUAAAGGCCUACCAAGGCGACGAUCCAUAGCUGGUCUGAGAGGAUGAUCAGCCACAUUGGGACUGAGACACGGCCCAAACUCCUACGGGAGGCAGCAGUGGGGAAUAUUGGACAAUGGGCGCAAGCCUGAUCCAGCCAUGCCGCGUGAGUGAUGAAGGCCUUAGGGUUGUAAAGCUCUUUCACCGAUGAAGAUAAUGACGGUAGUCGGAGAAGAAGCCCCGGCUAACUUCGUGCCAGCCGCCGCCGUAA
rnacentral:rRNA from 1 species